UUUUUUUGACUCCUAGGAGAUUUGGGCAUGUGGAGAAUAAUGGGACAGGAGAUGACGGUAAUGAAUUAAAACAGAAUGGAAUGGAAUGGAAAGCCUAGCGCAGGGCUUGGUUUGGAAGGAGACGGUCCAGUAUUAUAGCAGGAAAAAGGAAGACUCUCAUCUUUGCCUCGGUGACAAAGCUAUGUAUGACAUUACUCAAAAUCUCAAGGAUGCACCUCCAACAAAACAAUUCUUACAUGGAAUCCUAGAGUCUUUGGAACGUGGUUUGAACACCACCAGCUUUGAGAAGGAAGAGAAAAUCCAGAAGUCAGAAGUGGACCAUGUUGAUCAGGAUCCUACACCUUCCAGGCUUGAGAGCUCUCCAAAGACAGAUCAUACUUUUCUAAGCACUCCGUAUAUUGGACAUAAAGAAAUGCUGAAGGUAAUCAGAGAUUAAAUUAAGAUUAUUUUUAAAACUCACAGGCAAGCUUUCAACUAUAAACUUCAAAUUUGUGAGCUUUUACACUUUCUUGAGUGACUUCAAUUUGCAAAGUUGUUUAAUCUCAUUAUACACAUAAAA
rnacentral:lncRNA from 1 species